CAACAGAUGAAGUUCACUUCCAAUAAGAAAGAAUCAAGGAAGUAUCCCACAACUAUGAGAACCCCUGGGGAAAACCCUGUAUUCUCACUUUUUUUGUGUAUCAACGCAGUGUUUUGUUAGGGUAACUGAGUGGCGAUGCCAGUAUUUUGAUUACAGUUAGUUAGUAAAGUUGACCAUAAUUAAGCUUCUACUUAUCCCUCUCUUUUUGAUUAGCUGUCGAAUUUUAGCCUGCCUUUAAGUUCAAUAAACCUCUAGACUUUUCCCGAAACACUGAAUUUAACACAUCCAAACUGAAGGAAACGUUCAAUAAACGAAGCUUUGUAGGCGAUUUAAAAAAAAAUCCCAUACCAUGAAGCAAUAAUCCUCACACUCCAUUCCACAACUGCAAGCACAUUGUGCACUUAAAACAAUGAAUGCUCGGUGCUGUUGUAUAAAUAUUGUUUCGUUCCAUUUAGCGACAAAACAAAAAGAUCAUCGAUGCUUUGCUUACCCUUCUAAUAUGUACCAAAAAGAAAAGCUGUUUAGUACUAACCUGUAGAAAAUUGAAGAAAAAGUAGCUGGUUGGGACACAAUCCCCUCUCUCCCUCUCUUUCUCUCCCAUAGCAAUAGCUAUUGUUCGUUGUGCAAUUGGAAGAAGUGUACUGCGUCAAAACUGUUGCCGUGUGGGAUAGUCUUAGCAACGAAUGCGCGUCCGCGAAUGCCGCCGUCGACUGUUUUCUUCGAGCAUAAUGUAGAAAUACUAUAGUAGGCUUUAAAUGUUUUUCGGUCGCAUUUCGGUGAGUUGGAUUUAGCAGCUAGUAAGAAUACCAAAAGGUGAGGACACAUUGCAAAUACUUUUCUUAAUUGAACCGAGAAUUUGGAGGAGGUGGAAGCAACUUUUUAACAGAAAAGGAAGCGAACCCAUCCCGUGUGAGACGUGUCAGAAAGGAAACAAUAAAUAGAACGAAUGAAGCAUCAUCACGCCCUCUGAUACCUGAGCCAACAGACAAGACAAAUACAUUCGUAACGAAGCAAAUUUAAAGCAAAACCCCCACACAAACACACAAGCUAAGUACAUUAAAAUGUUAGAAAAUUCCUUACCUCCUUCCGCUAAAACUUUAGAACGCGUUACUAAAACAAAAAAACCACAUGAAUUUAGCAUCCAACCAACGAAUUGGUUUCUCGAGGUUUUCAAAGCCGACUACGACCGGAAACGGAGAGAAACCGUGUGUGGCGCGCGAUGUGGCGUUGUGAAGAAAGUGUCUUGGAGCAGACGGCGGGUAGGGGGGGGGGAGUUUUUGCUCGUGUUUCUAACUCUCUUGCUCUCUCACUGUCUGUCUGUCUGUCUCUGUUUCGGUGUACAAACACACAUUUCACACUUUUUCUAUGGAAGCCGGCCGAUGAGGAUUUGUUAGAACAAACAACAACAAAAAAAACUAAUUCGCGACAAAUCGAAGAGAUAGAGUAGUAAGUUGUAUGCGCUUAUGAUAGACUCACGUGUAGCAUGGAGCGUAAAAUAUCUGAACGAACGAACGAAGUACAACAAAGGUAGGCGAAGGGACAAACAAUGCAAUAGCUGUGUGUGUGUAUGUACCCACGCACACACACACACACACUACACACCUGUCUUAUGCAUAUUUCACACAAACACACCUACUGGAUGGCAAUAUUCUAGUUGCUAAUUAUAAUAGAGUAAAGUUUAAACAAAAAAAAACCGGAACCCUAUUCAUCUACUACUAGAAUCUUCCGCUACGUUUCCCUUACCUGCCAGUAACCCUUUUCGAUACCUGAUAUGACCUGAGAAGAAGUAGGGAAAAAAGAAAAAAACAAGAAAGCACCUUAUAAACUUAUUUUUUGUUUGUUAAUCCCAUUUGGAGGACAGGACAGGACUAUGCCGUGCGUUAACGUUGCAGGAGAAAAUAAAUGCUUUUAAAGCGCGCUUUACCCCUACAAGGCUUAAGCGACGAACACCACUCAGCAGGGAGGGAGAGUGUUUUGUGCCCCCGGUAUCUAUGCGUAGUAGCCUACUGCUGGAGGGAAAAGGAAACAGAAGUGUAAAAACAACCCGUCCUCCCCGGUAAGAAGGGGAGACAUGAUAGCAGAUGGGCGUCUCCGUAUCCUUGCAGUUGCGGGCGGGCGGGUGAUAAACGCAGACAUUAAACUACUACCUAUUUGUGAAGUUUAUUUUGCAACUGGAGAGAUGGGAUAAACACGCUUUCUCCUUAGUGCGAAAAAAAAUUGUAGUGAAACCAAACUGUUUGAAAAGAAGUUGAGACAGUGAAAACGCAAAACUAUUGGCCAAAACAAAACAAAAAUACGAAAGCAAAUAAAUGCUGUCAUGUAAACACAUUGGUAAGAGAAUUUUAGAGCGGUCAACGUAACGGCUUCCCAGCAGUUUGGAAUUAUCAUGAAAACGUGACCGUUACUAUAACGACCGGCAUGAACUGUGUAUCUCGAAGUUGGUUGGAAGAACUCCAUCGUUGUCUAGCCUUUCUGGAAGAAUAGUGGAAGAAUUAAGAAAGCAUUAGUAACUGAACGAUUAAUUAAGCAGCAAAUUUCUUUCAUUCCUCCGUAA